UACGAACCGUGAAAGCGUGGCCU
rnacentral:sRNA from 1 species